UUUAAAUUUAAAAAUAUUUUGAUAUAAUUUAAAUAAUCGAAAUUAAGAUAAUUUUUUCAGUUUGUAAAAAAAAUAAAAAAAAAGGCCGCGGAUAAAAAAUAUUUAUUAAUAAAUUGGAGUAAAAUAUAUUUAUUAACAAAAAUUAUUCUUUGUUUAUAGGUGAAAGAAAAAAAAAAAGAGGAAAAUACGAGAAUACACCAUCUUUAAGGUGUGUAUCCGAAACAACCCCGUUAUCUGAAUGCUCUGAAUGUGAAUGAAUCGUAUGUACAAGUUAUCGAUUGACGUCGGGUGCAGUAACUACAAAGUACACAAGUAUUAAAUAUUGCAAACCUUGGAUGCUACAAGAGAAUUUUUUUUUUCUAUAACACGUGACAAUCCGCUGAAAUUAAUAACUGGAUUAUUAAUAAUUAUUAUCACUAAUAGUAAAAAUAAUAUUAUAUUUCUUUAAUAGAUUGGAAAAAAAAUUAAUUUGGAGCAAUUAAAAGAAUCCGCUGAAAUUAAUAACUGGAUUAUUAAUAAUUAUUAUCACUAAUAGUGAAAAUAAUAUUAUAUUUCUUUAAUAGAUUGGAAAAAAAAAAUUAAUUUGGAGCAAUUAAAAGAAGCCGCGGAAAUUAAUAACUGGAUUAUUGAUAAUUAUUAUCACUAAUAGUGAAAAUAAUAUAUUAUAUUUCUUUAAAUAGAUUGGAAAAAAAAAUUAAUUUGAAGGCAAUUCAAAGAUUUACAAAACCCGAGAAAAUUGUGGAACGAAUUUAUUUAAAGAAAAUAAAUAUUUAGCUUUGGGAAAAAUAAAAAAAUUAUUUUUUUUUCUCUUAAGUAGAUAAAAUUGUCACGGCAAGACAGAAUUCUGUUUAAGUAGAAAAAGUACAGCAUUAUUGAGACAGUUAGUCUACACAAAAAAAUUUUUUUCUUUUGUUUGUUUUUUUUUGAAUAAUUUAAAUAGUAAAAAAAUAGUCAAUUUUAUAAGACAAUUAUGAUAAAAUUAUAAUUAUUUUUCCUCUUUAUUUUGAGAGGUAUUUAAAUUGAUUGUAUAAUAAUGAGGGAUAGGAAGUUACACCGGUCUGCGGUAUGCCGCUAUAUAUAGAGGUCAUAUCUUUUUCGUUUUCUGCGCAUUUAAACAAAAAAGAUAUGUUACGUCUCUAUAUAUAUAUAUUUGCAUAUAUACAGCGUAUACAUCGAUGACCAGUAUAUAUUAUAUAUUUGUCCCUUUAUAAGUCAAUAAUAUUUCUAUAUAUUUACGAAAGUUUUCCUUUAUUAAUCGUGUCAAUAAUGACAUAAAAAAAAAAAUCCCCCCAACGAAUAAACGAUAUUCUAUAAAAAUUUAAGAACAUCAAGCACAUUUUAAUUUUAAAUUUAGAAUAAUUUAAUUAAAUAAAUA